rnacentral:lncRNA from 1 species
ACGCAGAAGAUAAUAGGAUUGAGUCGUUUUUGUCUGAAAUUAAGGGCAAAGAUAUAGCUGAGGUUAUUGCUUCUGGUAGGGAAAAGUUGGCAUCAGUUCCUUCUGGUGGUGGUGGUGUCGCUGUUGCUGCUGCACCUGCGAGUGGUGGUGCUGCUCCUGCAGCUGCUGAGGCAAAGAAAGAGGAGAAGGUAGAGGAGAAAGAAGAAUCUGAUGACGUAAGUUCUUUUUCUGGGUUCAUAUUGCUUCUUUUAUCAUUUAGCUAUUCUAGUUAUGUUGUUAUAUGUAUGUCCUAUAAAUGGGUUUAAACUUGCAUUUGGUUGGCAAGCCUAGUUUAAUUAGAUUUAUGUGUUUUAUACUGGAAAAGGUUCUUGAUUUGUAGUUAGUUCAGCUUUGUUCAAUCCCCUGUAGUCAAUAGCAGCCGAUGUAGCAGUGUCGCAUAAUUUAGCGGCCACUAGGCUUUAUUCAAAACCCGGUUGCAUUACGGUUUUAGUACCAGCUAUAGCGGCUACAUUGCGGUUUAUAUAUAUGCUGAGUUACUGUAAAGAAUCAAGUAUGCCCUCAACACUACUCUUGUAGUGGUUCCAACCAAUCUUUUUAGUCAAUUUACCCUAAAACUUUUUUCUUUUUAUUGGUUUUGAAAAUGGAUCGUAUGAACUGUGAUUAAUAGCUAUGGAAUAUGUCUUUAAUUUUGGUUAUUCUUCUACUUUUGAGAUCUUUUAUGUGAUUAUGUGUAUGGUAUUAUGGUAUGUAUGUUUUGUAUUGUUUUGCUAAACUUUGAUGUGGUGGUCGUACCAUGCCCUGCUAUGCUACAAUAAUGUUUUUUGGGUUGGCUGCCACACUACACUAUCCGCCAUUGUCUGCAAAGAAUCACUCAUAAUAUGAUUGAUGCACUUCGCUAUUUGUUUUUCAAUAAUUUUGAGUAGUUAUGUAUACUGUCUUGGCUUGAGAUUUUUGUGCAAAUUCUAAGUGUG